UUUUUUAAAAAAUGCUGUUUGAGGCACUGCACUGAGUAUAUUCUGAAGAUCUGUUCAGUGAAUGCCAUGAUUGGGGAAGAAGCCUCAGGAGGGCAUGCAUGCAGAGGAAAGAAAGACCAUGUGAGAACACAGCAAUAAGGCAGGCGUUUGCAAGCUGAGGAGAAGGACUCACCAGAAACCAGCCCUGCUGACGACACCUUGAUCAUGGACUUCCAGCCUCCACAUCUAUGUGAAAAGUAAUCUC
rnacentral:lncRNA from 13 species